ACUAUUUUGGCAGAUAAGUGCAUUAAGUUUAGAAUUUAAGUAUAUAAAAAUUUUUUUAUAAAUAGUA
rnacentral:tRNA from 1 species